ACGUAGGAGGCGAGCGUUGUCCGGAUUUACUGGGUAUAAAGGGUCCGCAGGCGGAUCGACAAGUCGAUGGUGAAAUCCUUAAGCUUAAGUGAAGAGCUGCCGUCGAUACUGUUGAUCUUGAAUACAGGAGAGGAUAACGGAAUUCCAGGUGUAGCGGUGAAAUGCUUAGAUAUCAGGAAGAACACCGAAAGCGACGGCUGGUGCCUGGUUUGGUUUUGACGCUCAGUUACGAGAGCGUGGGGAUCAAACAG
rnacentral:rRNA from 1 species